GCAUUCUAUAGGGGUACAAUCCUUAAAGAUCAACUUAAGUACUAAUCCAAUUUUAUGUACCCCUAUGUAAUUCGUGCAUUACUGCUUGUCACCAUGAAUAUUAUAUA
rnacentral:ncRNA from 11 species